rnacentral:lncRNA from 1 species
AACGCUAAAUUUUUGACACAAAAGUCAUAGCAUUCUAGUUAGUGAGAUUGUAAGUCUCCCCUCUUUCAUGGUAUUGUAUGGAAACUUGGCCUUUUUUCCUUCCUUUGGAAGAUGUCUUGGUUCAAGGAUCUAUGCUUGUGAUAAGUGGGUUGAGUGUUCUCCAUAGAAUGACUUAAAACAAAAAACAAAAAAAGAAAAAGCAAUACUAACUUA